GGGGGGAGGCCGGAUCCUGGGCUGUGUCCCGGCGCCCUGUGCUCCCGGGGCCUGCGCUGUUGGAUUCGCGCUCCCGCCCCGCAGCCCCCU
rnacentral:pre_miRNA from 1 species